rnacentral:lncRNA from 1 species
AACGACACUGGUGUCUUAGGGGGAGCUAGGGUUUUUUAGCUUUUUUUCUGAAAAGAUUGGGUUAUGGGCUUUAGGGUUUUUGUUUGUUUUGGACUUGUAAGUUGGGCUUGUAAUAUUUGGUCUGGACUGUUAAUUUAUUAUUAUUUAUUUAUUUUGUGUUUGUUUAGGGCACGGGCAAAAUUGAGCCCUUACAGCUGCCCCUCUUUGCUCGUUGUCAUGUAACGAGAAUGAAGCAAAGACUUUUAAGAAGGACCAAUUUUGUCUUGCACGUCAAAUUUCGACUUUUUUUGUGCUUU